rnacentral:rRNA from 1 species
UACGGAGGGGGCUAGCGUUGUUCGGAAUUACUGGGCGUAAAGCGCACGUAGGCGGCUUUGUAAGUUAGAGGUGAAAGCCCGGGGCUCAACUCCGGAAUUGCCUUUAAGACUGCAUCGCUAGAACGUCGGAGAGGUAAGUGGAAUUCCGAGUGUAGAGGUGAAAUUCGUAGAUAUUCGGAAGAACACCCGUGGCGAAGGCGGCUCUCUGGAACGCAACUGACGCUGAGACGCGAAAGCGUGGGGAGCAAACAGG